rnacentral:rRNA from 1 species
GAUGAACGCUGGCGGCGCGCCUAACACAUGCAAGUCGAACGGUUAAAGCCCCUUCGGGGGUGCAUAGAGUGGCGAACGGCUGAGUAACACGUGGGCAACCUGCCCCCCGCACCGGGACAGCCUCGGGAAACCGUGGUUAAUACCGGAUACUCCGCCACCCCCGCAUGGGGGCGGCGGGAAAGCCCAGGCGGAGGGGGAUGGGCCCGCGGCCUGUUAGCUCGUUGGCGGGGUAACGGCCCACCAAGGCGAUGAUGGGUAGCCGGGUUGAGAGACCGACCGGCCAGAUUGGGACUGAGACACGGCCCAGACUCCUACGGGAGGCAGCAGUGGGGAAUCUUGCACAAUGGGCGAAAGCCUGAUGCAGCGACGCCGCGUGCGGGACGAAGGCCUUCGGGUCGUAAACCGCUUUCAGCAGGGACGAGGCCGAA